AGCGGUCGGCGAAGCUUUGCAUUCCGAUUGCAUCGACGGGAUUUGGGGCUGCUCCGGGGACGCCGUCUACGGCGGUGUGGAGAGAGGUGCUGGAAGAUUGAGAAGGUUACUUCUCCGUAUAUCGUAAGAAAGGGGGGAGAGAGGCUUUGGAGGAUCGGUAUUCAACCACUCUUAAUCUUCAUGGUGAUCCCAAACCAGGACAAGAAAGUGUUCCCACAAGAGAGGAAAGAUGAUCAGAAGAGUGUGGAUGCUUUGUUGAUAAUGUCCAUUGAGGCUGUCCCAGACUUGAAGACAUACUUAGCUGCAAGAUUCUCUCUUGGGUCUGGCAUGAAGCCUUAUGAGCUUGUCUUUUAGACAGUCAGCUCUUUUCUUACUUAGGAUAUUUGUUCCCGUUCUUGUUUGUUUCUUUACUAUGAUUGUAUGUUCUGUUCACAUUGAGAUCCGAGAUUUUGUAUUGAUCGGCAUUGCCUUGCAAGGGAUGUUAUGAUUUUCAUU